UACGGGGGGAGCAAGCGUUGUUCGGAUUUACUGGGCGUAAAGGGCGCGUAGGCGGUAGCACAAGUCAGUUGUGAAAUCUCCGGGCUUAACUCGGAAAGGUCAACUGAUACUGUGCGACUAGAGUGCAGAAGGGGCAACUGGAAUUCUCGGUGUAGCGGUGAAAUGCGCAGAUAUCGGGAAGAACACCCGUGGCGAAGGCGGCUCUCUGGGACGGUACUGACGCUGAGACGCGAAAGCGUGGGGAGCGAACAGG
rnacentral:rRNA from 1 species